CCCACUGUAUGAAUACACAUUUCCAAACCAAAGCAGCUUUGGGAAAAGAAAAAAAACAAAAAAAACAAAAAAACAACAACAACAAUAACAAACUGAUAGAAUGGGCAAACAAGGAUUCUCAGACACUGUAAACAGAAAUCAUCCAUGCACCAUUGUGAAGGAUCCACUGUCUACAUGUGGGAGUUGUCUGCUUUACCACACUGUGGCAAGGAAAUGGCCUCCUAAGCAAAGAACAAAUGACUGUGGUUCCUGAGCAAGAAGCUCCUUCCUCCUUCAAGUAUGUCCUAAAGCAUAAAUGAACGGGAACAGAAACUUUA